rnacentral:rRNA from 1 species
CUACGAGUUUGAUCCUGGCUCAGAUUGAACGCUGGCGGCAGGCUUAACACAUGCAAGUCGAGCGGAGACUUCGGUCUUAGCGGCGAACGGGUGAGUAAUACCUAGGAAUCUGCCUAUUAGUGGGGGAUAACGAAUCGAAAGGUUCGCUAAUACCGCAUACGUCCUACGGGAGAAAGGGGGGGAUCUUCGGACCUCUCGCUAAUAGAUGAGCCUAGGCCGGAUUAGCUAGUUGGUAGGGUAAAGGCCUACCAAGGCGACGAUCUGUAGCUGGUCUGAGAGGAUGGCCAGCCACACUGGAACUGAGACACGGUCCAGACUCCUACGGGAGGCAGCAGUGGGGAAUAUUGGACAAUGGGGGCAACCCUGAUCCAGCCAUGCCGCGUGCGGGACGAAGGCCUUCGGGUUGUAAACCGCUUUCAGCCGGAAAGAAAUCGCCAAGGCUAAUAUCCUUGGUGGAUGACGGUACCGGAAGAAGAAGCACCGGCUAACUACGUG